AGGAUCAUUAUCGUACAACGGGGGUGCGAGGGCUGUCGCUGACCUUUCAAAAGGUUGUGCACGCCCGAGCACUCUCACACAAUCCAUCUCACCCCUUUGUGCAUCACCGCGUGGGUCCCCUUUGCAGGAGGGCUCACGUUUUCACACAAAACUUGAUACAGUGUAGAAUGUUACCUUUUGCGGUCACACGCAAUCAAUACAACUUUCAACAACGGAUCUCUUGGCUCUCGCAUCGAUGAAGAACGCAGCGAAAUGCGAUACGUAAUGUGAAUUGCAGAAUUCAGUGAAUCAUCGAAUCUUUGAACGCACCUUGCGCCCCUUGGCAUUCCGAGGGGCACACCCGUUUGAGUGUCGUGAAAUCAUCAAAAAUCNUUUUUUUUGUUUACCAGAAAAGGAUUUUUGGACUUGGAGGUUUAAUGCUCGUCUUUCACUUUUGAAAGUGAGCUCCUCUCAAAUGAAUUAGUGGGGUCCGCUUUGCUGGUCCUUGACGUGAUAAGAUGUUUCUACGUUUUGGAUUUAGCACUGUCCCUUUGGAUUCCUGCUCCUAACUGUCCAACGGACAAAGGAUGGUGCUCCGGUCACCGCCGUCUACAUUGGCGGGGGAGGGCUGGGCCCACGAAAGAAAACCUUGACCUCAAAUCGGGUGAGACUACCCGCUGAACUUAAGCAUAUCAAUAAGCGGAGGAAAAGAAACUAACAAGGAUUCCCCUAGUAACUGCGAGUGAAGCGGGAAAAGCUCAAAUUUAAAAUCUGAUGGU
rnacentral:rRNA from 1 species